UUUUAUGGAGAGUUUGAUCCUGGCUCAGGAUGAACGCUGGCGGCGUGCCUAAUACAUGCAAGUCGAGCGAACGGACGAGAAGCUUGCUUCUCUGAUGUUAGCGGCGGACGGGUGAGUAACACGUGGAUAACCUACCUAUAAGACUGGGAUAACUUCGGGAAACCGGAGCUAAUACCGGAUAAUAUUUUGAACCGCAUGGUUCAAAAGUGAAAGACGGUCUUGCUGUCACUUAUAGAUGGAUCCGCGCUGCAUUAGCUAGUUGGUAAGGUAACGGCUUACCAAGGCAACGAUGCAUAGCCGACCUGAGAGGGUGAUCGGCCACACUGGAACUGAGACACGGUCCAGACUCCUACGGGAGGCAGCAGUAGGGAAUCUUCCGCAAUGGGCGAAAG
rnacentral:rRNA from 1 species